AUUGAACGCUGGCGGCAGGCCUAACACAUGCAAGUCGAAUGGUAACAGGAAACAGCUUGCUGUUUCGCUGACGAGUGGCGGACGGGUGAGUAAUGUCUGGGAAGCUGCCUGAUGGAGGGGGAUAACUACUGGAAACGGUAGCUAAUACCGCAUAACGUCGCAAGACCAAAGAGGGGGACCUUCGGGCCUCUUGCCAUCAGAUGUGCCCAGAUGGGAUUAGCUAGUAGGUGGGGUAACGGCUCACCUAGGCGACGAUCCCUAGCUGGUCUGAGAGGAUGACCAGCCACACUGGAACUGAGACACGGUCCAGACUCCUACGGGAGGCAGCAGUGGGGAAUAUUGCACAAUGGGCGCAAGCCUGAUGCAGCCAUGCCGCGUGUAUGAAGAAGGCCUUCGGGUUGUAAAGUACUUUCAGCGGGGAGGAAGGGAGUAAAGUUAAUACCUUUGCUCAUUGACGUUACCCGCAGAAGAAGCACCGGCUAACUCCGU
rnacentral:rRNA from 1 species